ensembl:lncRNA
GAAGCUCGUCUAACUGACAGAAAUUUUCUUUUGUAACUCAGUCUCUUAACAUUUUGUGAAAACUUGUUUUGACACUUCUGAUUAUUCAUGUUCUCAACACAUUUACAAAUUAUUAGUAGUUAUUUAGUAUUAAUUGUCAUUGAAAAAUCUGUUAGAAAUCUGCGCUGAUUCAGAAAAGGUGGAAUCUCUGCUGGGAGUCUGAUCAGAAUGUCAGAGCAAGGUUAGCAGGUUUGAGAAAGAACCAGCUGGAUCCUCAAUUAAAAAUAAAACUUGUUUAAUAAGGUGAGGUGCUGUAAAUAGGCACAAACAAAGAAGGCAAAGAACGACGCAUUAUAAACCUAAUAAUGUACACUAAUAUACAGAUCCAAAUACUAACAUAUAUGCGAUCAAAUGUAUAAAAUCAAAGUACAUUUCUAAAUACAUAAAAUAUGCCAAGUAUUAAUAACCCUUCACUUUAGCUUUCUCUAAAACAAGAACAGAAUCCCAAGUAAGCUGAUUUAGAACUGCUUUAUAACAAUCAGCUUCUGUUAAUCACUUUACAAAACUGAGAGUUGAUUGGUGAAAAUGUUCGGAAAACCUUUAGCACUGAUAGCAUCCUUUUGCUAACGUUAGCAAGCUGUAUUUCUGGUUAAAUGAGAGCUGAGUUCGUGAGAAUAAUGAGUUUUUGCUUGUUCAGGGUCAAAUGUAGUUGACGGUGAAGUGGCAGUCAGAGCUAGAUACUACCUGACAAUGAGCAGGAGCGAAGAACCACACAGGUUAAACUCUUCUAGCAUUUCUGUUGCUUUCCAGUGUGCAGUCCCUAAAAAAAUGUGGAUUUUUGAUACUGAAUUUUAUACUGGACCUGAAUGGUUAAGGACAGAUCUGGUUUGUUAGAGGAAUGCACUGAAAUGGAAGUCACCUGUCUGGCUAGUUUAAGUGGGGCUAGUUCAAAUAAGCCUUUCUAAAAAAUGUUUUUUGUUUUAUUUAAACCUUGCUUAAUACAAUACCAUACAAGACAUUUAAUUCAUUUAAUCCAUAAUCCCGAGAAGCAAUUCCCAUUCAUUUAAAAAAGGAAAAAUGUAUAAAUAAAAUGAAUAGCAUCUGUGAGUGGUGCUUUCAGCUUAAACAUUUGGAGGCACUGAUUGUGCUUAAUGACAAUUUGCAUAUAUUUUAGAAAUAGUAUUAUAGAAAAAAGUUUAAAUUAUAAUUAUUUUUGUUGCACUAAAUCAUUAACUGCAAUCAUUUUGCCCAUUCUAUUGAUGAGACCUUCAUGAGAAAAUUCUGCAAGAGCAAAGAAAAUGCUCGACUCGAGGGUGCACUUCUGCCACACUAAAUGCUCGGUCACAUUUAGACAUCACUAAUAGGCUUCUUUCUGGUGUGCAUCUCAGACGCACUUUAACACACAGAGCAGCAGUACGGCUUUUCCCCAGUGUGUAUCCCCUGGUACAGCUUAAGGUGGCUUGUUGUUGUGAAUCCUUUGCUGGCAGGCGGGGUGGCUGUAAGGCUUCUGUCCAGUGUGCAUUAGUUUGUACACUGUAAGAUGCUAUGACUGAUUCAGAGCUGCACCGAGGGUAGAUGUGUCGUACCGUUUUCCACAGAGAUCACAGUGGAAAGGCUUCUCUGCAGCGUGCACUCUCUGUUGUCUACACAGUUUUUAUUGUUGUGAAAACUCUUUUCCAAACCGUGUCUAAUAGUAAUGCUUCUCUUCUGUAUGCACUUUUUGAUGUCUCCCAAAAGCAAAUGAACUUCUGAAACUCCUACUGCACCGGCUGCACUGAUACACCCUUCGUCCCUUACAAAGUGCAUUACGGUUGCCUGAAAGACGUAAUGCAUCGACGCUCUUCCCAAACGUAACUUUUCUGGGGGUCUUUCUUUUGAUCGUUUGUUCUUGUGAGGUACUUUUAUCCUCUUCAUCCUCAGAAGAUGACUGUCUGGACUUGCCUGCAAUUUCAUGAGAGACAAAAAUUACAAAUUUUCUUCAAAACGAGAUCAGGUUGCUAAAGCAAAAUUGGACAAUAGCAGUAUGUGUUUAACAAAACGUAAAAGACGACAUUCG